rnacentral:antisense_RNA from 1 species
GGAGCGCCUCUGACUGACUUCCCCCAUGUGUCCGUGUGGCCACACCGUGCUACUUUCAGAGGCAGUGGGCUUUUCGCUAAGCGAUAAAAAGAAGUAAAACCUUGCCUUUAGCGCAGCUCUCCAUCACUGGGCAGAUUGCUCUCCCUCCCCACUCUCCCAGGCCCAAAUUGGAUCUCAGCGCCUGGGAGCUCCAACUGCAGCAAGUGCAAAAUCCUGUCUUCGGUUUUGGAAUUUUCAUCCGCACAGACUAUAUCAGCCACGGAUAGGAUACGUGAGAAUACUAGCAUGUCAAAGCUGGGAAUCAUCCUUAGGCAUCACCUAGCCAGUCCUGCCUCUCAUUUUAAGUGGGUAACCAGGAUGGAACUGUGGUGUUGCUUGCAGGAGAAGCUUACUACUGGUUUCUACUUCUCCAACCUCAUUGGUGGCUAUGCAGAGAAUAGACACCUUGAUGGCUCCUCUGGCAGUUCUUGAUGACCAUGGAUGAGCUAAUGGCUGUGGUCUCAAUGGUGGCUUCUUGAGAUGGUAUUGCCUCUGAAUUUGCUGAUUCAGAAGAUGUCAGACUCAUGUUAUCCUAUAGAAGAUGUAACAACCCAUAUACAUUUAUGAAAAUCAGGAACUACAUUAUUAUAAUGAUGAAAGAAAAGCCCAAGCAAUCAACCAACCUGA